GAUGAACGCUGGCGGCGUGCCUAACACAUGCAAGUCGAACGAAGCACCUUACCUGAUUCUUCGGUUGAAAUUUUGGUGACUGAGUGGCUGACGGGUGAGUAACGCGUUGGUAACCUGCGCUGUACAGCGGGAUAACAGCUGGAAACGGCUGCUAAUACCUCAACAGCGCACGAGGAGACAUCUCCUUGUGUUAAAAACUCCGGUGGGACAGGAUGGGCCCGCGUCUGAUUAGCUGGUUGGCAGGGUAACGGCCUAGCAAGGCAACGAUAGCUAGCCGGUAGGUGAGAAACGACCGACACACUGGAAGUGGGCCGCAGUACAAAAUCCUACGGGAUGCAGGAGUGGGGAAUAUUGCAAAACGGGGGAAGUGAUGAUGGAGUAACGCCGGGAGAGUGAAGAAGUAUUGCAGUAUGAAAAGCUCUAUAAGCAGGGAAGGUAAUGACGGUACCUAACGAAGAAGCACCGGCUAAAUACGUG
rnacentral:rRNA from 1 species